GCUAUCCCCUUUUGAGUUUUCCAGAACAUGUUGGUUUAUCUCUCUUCUAUGGAUUGCCCUUAACUUCUGUGUUGUUCUGGGCCAUAUAUAUGAACUGCUCAGUGGAAAAUCGAAAGGUUUCAAAUGAGAGGAUAAAAGAGUUUACAAAUAUUACAUCAGAAGCAGCUUGGGAAAUUAAAGACUGCAUUUCCAUAUAUAUCAACUGCUUAGUGGAAAAUCGAAUGAUUUCUGUUGACAGGAUAAAGGACUUUACAAUAUUGACCUUAGAGACUCCAGGGGACUCAUUAACUGCCAGUCUGUACUUGCUGUCAUCCUAACAAAAACAGCAGUUUCAGCCCAUUUUACUUAUUAUUGAAAAUAAACCAAUGACUUACUGCUUACUAUUCAAGGGGAGACAGAGCGCUAAAAAAAAGAAAGCAUUAUCACUAUUUCAAACUGUUUUCCAUCUUACCUGAUCUACUGUUUUUGAAUAGCGAUUAAAAUUGUAAGACUUUGAAAUCUGAAAGUGUAAUGUAUUUUUGUUGUUGUAACUUUAUGGUUGCUGGUAGGUGAAUUUUCAUUUAUAAAACAAUGAAUGUAAUUACUAUUAAAUUGACAGAAAUUGUUUGUAAUUCAUUUAGUAGAUCAUGUUUGGUUGGAGCACACCUCUUUUUCUUUGAGUUUCAUACUGUAGAAUACUUUCAAAGAUUGUAUGUGCAGCAGCCAAUGUGGCAUGACCACAAAACUGAAGCUGCAAAGGCGUAUCAAACAUUUGAUUGAUUUACAUAUACUUCUUUUAAUUUGCUAAAAAUUCUACUGCACCAAUAAAAUAUAUGAACCUGUAGGCCAAGAGCAUGUGCUCUGGCAACAAGAUCUGUAACUUUCAUUCAAAUAAUGGUUAUGCUACCUAAUUAAAUAAAAAAUUGCCUAACAUCCC